AAGAUUCACAAAGCAAAUUCAGUUACUUAGAAUAUCAAACCUGCCUUCUAAAUUACAUGUUUUGCUUAUAUUUUAGAGAAAAGGGACUUUGAUUAUAUAGUUAAAAAAUGCCCUGUUUUAAUAUAUAAUUAUGGUUUAUUGAACUGCUCUUUCACAGUUACAAAGACGUCUGAAUUACAGAGAGUUUAUAUAUUUUCAAACUAGUACAAUUUUAUCCAAGCAAUCUAUAUAAAAUCUAAUUUUAUGUGUGCAACGAAAGUGGUGACUGCAUGAAAUAGGCUUUUAUUAAAAUUAGUUAAUAAGUUUGAUUUCGUGCGAUAGUUUUGACGAUAUAGGCCUUCAAUUAAUUAAACAACAACGGCUAAAGCUGAUUUUCGCUUGUUUUCCUGUUCCUAAUGAAUUUCGCGGCUAAUGAAUUUCGCCUUUUUCCAAACGAUCCAUUGGUGCAUAGAAUGUAGUUUGGAGGCCUGUAUCAUCGCAAUUAUUGCACUAAAGGGUUGGGUGUUUUUUUU